AGAAUGUUCUUAGCUUGUCUUCCUGUGGCAGAGAGAGAGAGAGACAGAGAGGACGAGAGCUAAACCUGAGUCUGUCCUGAGUCUGUCCCCUUCGUCCUCGUCCUUUCCCUUCUGUCCUUUCAGCGUCUCAUCUGUUUCUCCUUUCCUCUCUGUGGGACUCGAAGGAAAGCUUCAUCAACAGGCACUUCCAUCCUGUUUCUGGUCCGCCGCAGUGGGAGCAGUGAAAGUAAGCU